UUAGAGUUUGAUCCUGGCUCAGGAUGAAUGCUGGCGGCGUGCCUAAUACAUGCAAGUCGACGGUAACAGGGAGUUCCACCGUUUCCUUGACACACCUAGCGCUAUAUCGUAGGUUGUUGAUUCGAGGGAACCGUGGAAUUCUGCUGACGAGCGGCGGACGGCUGAGUAACGCGUGGGAACGACCCCAAACUGAGGGAUAACGCACCGAAAGGUGUGCUAAUACCGCAUAUGAUCUUCGGAUAAAGCUUUCGAGCGGUUUGGGACUGGCCUGCGUACGAUUAGAUAGUUGGCGGGGUAAUGCCCACCAAGUCGACGAUCGUUAGAUGGUUUGAGAAGAUGAUCAUCCAGACUGGGACUGAGCACGGCCCAGACUCCUACGGGAGGCAGCAGUAGGGAAUCUUUCACAAUGGGCGAAAGCCUAUGGAGCAACGCCGCGUGCAGGAUGACGGCCUUCGGGUUGUAAACUGCUUUUAUAACCGAAAAUAUGAUGGUAAGUUAUGAAUAAGGACCGGCUAACUACGUGCCAGCAGCCGCGGUCAUCGUAGGGUCCAAGCAUUAUCCGGAUUGACUGGGUGUAAAGAGUUGCGUAGGUGGCAGGGUAGUAGAUAGUGAAAUCUGGUGGCUCAACCAUUCAGACUAUUAUCUAAAACUGCUCCGCUCAGAGCGUUAGGGGGUAGCUGGAAUUUCUAGUG
rnacentral:rRNA from 1 species